AUUGUUUUAUAGGUACCUACACAAUUACAAGGUUGGAAGUGUGGAUAUUAUGUUAUGAAGUUUAUGAGAGAAGUAAUCACACAACAAGAGUUGAUCAUUCCUGAAAAUCUAAAGGUUUGAGGGAGAUGUAUCCUGCUGGAUGGCUUCUUGAAGCACCAUCUCCGCCCUGUGCCAAUUCUUUUUGCUGAUUCUUAAAGGUUGCAUUGUUCAAGCGGUGGGGUGUUUGAGGCUCGGCCACGUGAAGGUGCAGACGGAAUACUACUCAAAAAUCAGAAGUUGAUGGACCCCACCAUAGGGCUCGUGCGCAUUGAUGGGAUGCAUCCUCAGUAUAAUAGUGCAACAUGUGGCUGAAAGGUUUUAUCUACGAAUUGGGCGGCGUACCAAUACCUAAUGCUGAGAUCAAGGCCAUUGGAUGGGGAAUGGAAUUUUGUUUGAAUCUGCUCCAUAUUUUGAUGGCUACAUUCAGA